rnacentral:pre_miRNA from 14 species
GCUCUUGCGGCCCCACGCUGUCCUUGAGGCUGAGGUAGUAGAUUGAAUAGUUGUGGAGUCCUACCCUCCCUUUGAGCUAACUAUACAAUCUACUGUCUUUCCUAAGGAGACAGUCAGGUCAUCAGCUCUGG